GACGUAGGGGGCGAGCGUUGUCCGGAAUCACUGGGCGUAAAGGGCGCGUAGGCGGUUACGUAAGUCCGGCGUGAAAUGCCACGGCUCAACCGUGGAAUGCCGUCGGAUACUGCGUUGACUUGAGGACGGUAGAGGCAGAUGGAACUAGCGGUGUAGCGGUGAAAUGCACAGAUAUCGCUAGGAACGCCGGUGGCGAAGGCGAUCUGCUGGGCCGUUCCUGACGCUGAGGCGCGAAAGCUAGGGGAGCGAACCGG
rnacentral:misc_RNA from 1 species